AUUGAACGCUGGCGGCGUGCUUAACACAUGCAAGUCGAUCGGUAACAGGUGUAGCAAUACAUGCUGACGAGAGGCGGACGGGUGAGUAAUGCUUGGGAAUCUGCCUAUUAGUGGGGGGACAACCCGGGGAAACUCGGGACUAAUACCGCAUACGCUCUACGGAGGAAAGCCGGGGACGCAAGGCCUGGCGCUAAUAGAUGAGCCCAAGUCGGAUUAGCUAGUUGGUAGGGUAACGGCCUACCGAAGGCGACAAUCCGUAGCUGGUCUGGAGAGGACGACCAGCCACACCGGAACUGAGACACGGU
rnacentral:rRNA from 1 species